CCUACGGGAGGCAGCAGUGGGGAAUUUUCCGCAAUGGGCGAAAGCCUGACGGAGCAAUGCCGCGUGAAGGCAGAAGGCCCACGGGUCAUGAACUUCGUCUCUCGGAGAAGAAAAAAUGCCGGUAUCCNGAGAGAANG
rnacentral:rRNA from 1 species